GAGCCUGCUGCUGACCCCUGUGAGGAACCAGCCCUCUUGGUAAUCAGCUUGAUUGGUCCAGCUGUGGGGCAUGGCACCCUGCCUCAAAAAAAAAAGCCAGCUGGCUUCUUAAAGAGCUUGCUGCUCCGUGCCAUAGCAUAAGGUUUUAGCUAUCCACUGGAAUGACUUGGAGCAAUGAGCUUGUGUUGGAAGAUAAUGAUCAGAGAAUUCGUCUCAGAUUUCAAGUCAAGAAAUGCCUCUGGAGAUUGGAUUUACUGUGUGAAACCAUUGUCCCACAAAUUUUUCUGGAGAUGAAGUCUUCUGAGAGGAGCACUAGGAAAGGUUUCUCAUUAAGAGGUCACCUUUUCCUCUCUCUGACUGUCAGUGAAAUAUUACCCUGAGAAGAUGUGCAUGUUAAGAGAGUGACAAGCAUCUUGAAUCAGUGAAUUUGUUUUAGACCAUUAGUUCAGGUGUUACAACACUACUGGCAUUUCAUGGGGUAAUAACUGAGGGAAAACAAUCACUCCAAAAUACAGUGUUGCCUAGAAUUAACAUAACAGUGGAUUUGCUAAACUGCUGGUCUCAGGAGGUCAUUCUGAGCCAUGCCAUCUUUUCCAAGUAGCCUUUCCAAAAUUUUUUAUGUUGUAACAAGUCAGAGGACAAAAUCUAAACAGAGAUUUGCCAUGGGCAACCAAUGUAUGGAGCCCGAAGCGAGGUGCCCAUCUGGGGAACCAAGAGGAAGGAUGUGGCCUGUGACAGCCGCAGAAACUGGUUAUGGUCCUCCUGUUCAGCCCUGCUGACAUUGUCAUGGAGAUCUGCCUUGUGCCACUAUUUUUAACCCAGAAGAUGUGUCCAAGUUUGCCACUUUGGGAAAACACAGUGUGGCGCCAGCCCUGGACAACAGGCGUAAAUAAGAGCUGACUAAGAGAAUGGUCCAGAAGGCAGAAUGCCAAAGAUACCUGUCAGGACAAAGUUUAUAGGUAGAGAUAAUAAGUCCAUUUAAUUCA